rnacentral:rRNA from 1 species
GGGCCCGCACAAGCGGUGGAGUAUGUGGUUUAAUUCGAUGCAACGCGAAGAACCUUACCAGGGUUUGACAUCCUGCGAAUCUCUUGGAAACGAGAGAGUGCCUUCGGGAACGCAGUGACAGGUGGUGCAUGGCUGUCGUCAGCUCGUGUCGUGAGAUGUUGGGUUAAGUCCCGCAACGAGCGCAACCCACGUCGUUAGUUGCCAGCAUUUAGUUGGGCACUCUAGCGAGACCGCCGGUGAUAAACCGGAGGAAGGUGUGGAUGACGUCAAGUCAUCAUGCCCCUUACAUCCUGGGCUACACACGUGCUACAAUGGCCGGUACAGAGAGCAGCCACUUCGCAAGAAGGAGCG